rnacentral:lncRNA from 1 species
AUUCUUUAGAACUAAAAUUCUGCAUACAACAAUGCAUAUUCUUCUCAUAGCAAAGGUGAAAAUAUUAGGGCUUUCUAAGUUUCAUAGAGUUACCACUACACCACUUUUAGCAACCUUACUAUGGCCCUUCUUUUUGAAACUUUUAAUGAGUUUGAGACCAAUACAAGACAUUGUUAACUCCAUGGUUCAUGAUUCAAGACUUUUCAUGUUUCAAUUAAGCCAAAUCAUCCAUUUAGACGACAUCGGUGAAGGAGAAAGAAGAUUUAGUCGAGUUCGUCGUCUUCUCCAUAACAGGUUGGUUAAUACCGGAAGAUCCAUAGCUUUUGUAGAAGAUGAACACAGCUUGCAUACGGUAUCAAUGGUGGCUCUCUAACUCUUUAAGGAUAUUAAAAUUCUAUUGUAUAAGUCUACAUGAUGCUACACGAUUUAAGGUUUCAAAUCAGUCACAAUCUUUUGAUCAAUGAGAUAAAGAGAUCUUUCAAAAUUACAAGUUUUGUAUCUCUUUUCUUGUAAUUUGUUGUUGGUUUGAGACUUCUUUUCUAUUUUUUUUUAAAUGUGUGGCACAAUGAAUUUAUUU